rnacentral:rRNA from 1 species
GACGAACGCUGGCGGCGUGCUUAACACAUGCAAGUCGAACGGAAAGGCCCUGCUUUUGUGGGGUGCUCGAGUGGCGAACGGGUGAGUAACACGUGAGUAACCUGCCCUUGACUUUGGGAUAACUUCAGGAAACUGGGGCUAAUACCGGAUAGGAGCUCCUGCUGCAUGGUGGGGGUUGGAAAGUUUCGGCGGUGGGGGAUGGACUCGCGGCUUAUCAGCUUGUUGGUGGGGUAGUGGCUUACCAAGGCAUUGACGGGUAGCCGGCCUGUGAGGGUGACCGGCCACAUUGGGACUGAGGUACGGCCCAGACUCCUACGGGAGGCAGCAGUGGGGAAUAUUGCACAAUGGGCGGAAGCCUGAUGCAGCAACGCCGCGUGCGGGAUGACGGCCUUCGGGUUGUAAACCGCUUUCGCCUGUGACGAAGCGUGAGUGACGGUAAUGGGUAAAGAAGCACCGGCUAACUACGUG